UAAUACGGAGGGCGCAAGCGUUGUUCGGAAUUACUGGGCGUAAAGCGCGUGUAGGCGGUUUGGAAAGUCGAAUGUGAAAUCCCCGGGCUCAACCCGGGAACUGCAUCCGAAACUUCCAAGCUAGAGUCUCGGAGAGGAAGGCAGAAUUCCCAGUGUAGGGGUGAAAUCCGUAGAUAUUGGGAGGAAUACCAGUAGCGAAGGCGGCCUUCUGGACGAUGACUGACGCUGAGACGCGAAAGCGUGGGGAGCAAACAGGAUUAGAUACCCUGGUAGUCCACGCCGUAAACGUUGUGCACUAGGUGUCGGGGGUAUUUACCCCUCCGGUGCCGCAGCUAACGCAUUAAGUGCACCGCCUGGGGAGUACGGCCGCAAGGCUA
rnacentral:rRNA from 1 species